ACACGACUACAUUAGAUACCCCUGUAGUCCCAGCCCUAAACGAUGCGCGUUAGGUGUAUCGGUGACCACGAGUCACCGAGGUGCCGAAGGGAAACCGUGAAACGUGCCGCCUGGGAAGUACGGUCGCAAGGCUGAAACUUAAAGGAAUUGGCGGGGGAGCACCACAACGGGAGGAGCGUGCGGUUCAAUUGGAUUCAACGCCGGACAACUCACCAGGAGCGACGGUUACAUGAAGGCCAGGCUGAUGACCUUGCCUGAUUUUCCG
rnacentral:rRNA from 1 species